GACGAACCGUGCGAACGUUAUUCGGAAUCACUGGGCUUAAAGCGCGUGUAGGUGGAGCGGUACGUCGGUCGCUUAAAUCCCCCGGCUUAACCGGGGAACUGGCGGCGAUACGGCCGUUCUGGAGGGGCGUAGGGGGAUCGGGAACUUCCGGUGGAGCGGUGAAAUGCGUUGAGAUCGGAAGGAACGCCCGUGGCGAAAGCGCGGUCCUGGACGCUUUCUGACACUGAGACGCGAAAGCCAGGGGAGCAAACGGG
rnacentral:rRNA from 1 species